rnacentral:lncRNA from 1 species
AUGGACAUGGAUAUGGAUAAGAAUAAGGACAUGGACAUGGAUAUGGAUAAGAAUAAGAAUAUCGAUAAGAAUAUGGAUAAGAAUUUGGAUAAGAAUAUGGAUAAGAAUAUGGAUAAGAAUAUGGAUAAGAAUAUGGAUAAGAAUAAGAAUAUGGAUAUGCAUAGUGGAAUAGAUACAGAAGAAAUUAUAAAGAAUCAAAAUAAUGAUGUACAAGAAAACACAAGUGAAAAGGAAAAAGCAAAAUUUGACAACAAUUGCUUUAUAUUAAGCAAGGAAGUCCUCAAGAAUAGAAAAAAGUAUAUCCAAAAUAGUAAUGACAAUAACAAAAAGAAUCACACGAACAUGUCUACACGACAAGAUAUUAUAUUAUUAUAUGUACUUUUCAUAACUAAUAAAAAUAAUACCAUUUAUUCGAUUGUUUUUAGUCAUAUGGUUGAGUAUAUAAUAAAAUAUAAAUUGAAUUACGAUUUUAAUCGAAUAAAGAUAAAAAGUAUGAGGUUAUACAAUAGAAUCAUUCGUUUUAUGGGUCAUGUUUACAAGUGUAUGUGUCGGGUGAAUAAGAGGUUGAAGCAAGAGACUGUGAAGGAUAAUCCACAACAUGGUAUGACCUACGAAAAUUACACAAAUAAAAAUUAUUCAUUAAUAUAUAUAUUCAUUGGCAUAAUAAUGAAGUAUAUUAAUUUUGUAGCUGACGAUGAAAUUGUGCUUUCAUAUUACUCUAACGAAAAUAUGAAAACAGAAUGUACAACUUUAUUAAAAUAUAUAAAAGAAUAUACAGAAAUAGUGUUUAAAUAUAUGAAGUUUUAUAUCAAUACUUUGAUUAAACGUUAUAAUAAUGACAUGUGGUUGAAAAAUAUUUUAACAAUAGUAAAAUUUAAAAAAAAUAUUCAUAAUGGUGCUCGUGAUAAAGGUGAGUUAAUUACUACAGAAAGUUCUUAUAUAUCUAGUUGUAACAGUUUUGAUGUUGAACAGAUAAAAAGUGACAAUUUUUCAAGUGAUGGAUUUGAAAGUUGGGAUGAAAAAAAUAAACAAAACAUGGUUAAUGUUAAUACGUUGUACAAAAAUAACAUAAAGGAUAGUGUGUUUUAUAAUAAUUAUAAACAUGAAAUAUAUAGAGAAAAUAGUAAUAACAACAGAACUAUUACGAAUUUAUGCAUUUCACAACACAGUGGUAACGUAAACAAAAUAAAAAAAAAAAAAAAAAAUAGUAAAAAUAUGACAAACAAAAUCAGUUGUGACAUAACAAAAACGAAUUUACCACCCCAAACUGAUAUAAUAAAUAAAAAAUUGUACUGCAGUGAUGACCACAUAAAUAUUUGUUUUUGUAUUUUGUGCAAAUGCUUACAUAUAUUUUAUAAUAGUGUUGUUUUCAAAACAAUUUUUGAGUUAUUGUUUGUCUUUUAUAUAUCAAAAAUGAGCAAUGAAAAGCUAAGUUACUUGUUAAGUAAUGUUUAUACACAAAGUGGUAGUAGCACACUAGUUCAAAUAAUAACAAAAAUAUUAAUAAAAAAAGAGAUAAACAAAACAUCUGUACAUAAUAUUUAUUAUGCAAAUUAUUUUUUAAGGAAGAAAAAAAAUGACAUAAAUGAUUGUUAUGUUAAUGUUGAUUCUAUAAAUUUGAAUAUAGCUGACGUUUAUUCAUUAAGCUUUAAAAAAUGUUUAAAAGAGAAAAGGUAUAGAGAUAAUUUUGCUAAAAAGGAAAGAAAAUAUAAACAUGUAAACGUUAAUCUAAGUAAAAAAUGGAACACGUUAAAAAAAAAAAAAAAAAAAAAAAAGAAAAAAAGAAAAAAAAAAAAAAAAAAUAGCUAUUUUAAUUUGAAGCUUUAUAUAAAACCUUGUUCAUGUAUGUUCUUAUCAUACUUAAUUUUUUUCUCUUUCCUUUUUCAAAAUUUUCGAAUGUAUUUUAUGCAUUUUACCAAGUUUUCUUUUGCACUUAAAAAGAAGAAGCAUAAAAAGAGUAUUAUCACUUCAUAUCAAUUCGACGUCAUAGGUGGCGAGUCUGUCAGUGCGCUGACCAAUGUUUGUCUUAGUAGUAAUGCGAGAGAAGACACGAGCGAACGCUCAAAUGGAACUGCACCUACAACUGCUAAUUCGAAUGUAAACACUCAGAUUAGCAACACGAUUAACAGUAACACACACCGUGUCAUAAACUUUUAUGAUUUGUUUGUUUGUCACCGUAGUAGUAACGACAUAAGUAACAAUCUAGAAAAGCAUGCAAACAAAAUGGGUGAUAAUAUAAACAGAAAUGAAAAAACGCAUGAACAAGAUAUUACACGUGUAAUAAACAAAUACCACCUGAUAAUACAACACAACUCAUUAAAUGCGGUUAAUAACAAAACGAACAACCCAAAUAACAAUAAAUUAAUUGAGACAACAGAUGAAAUAAUAAAAGAAGAACAGAAAAAUAAUUAUCUGUCAAAACAGAUGAGUGAUACACUAACUAAUGUAAAUGCCGAUGCACAAAUGCUUAGCGGUUUUAAGGAAGAUAUAGCAAUACACAUAUUAAAUUAUGUAUACCAAAUUAAAAAGCAUAAUAAAAAAAAACAAACCAUUCAACUAUUUAACAUAUUAUGUAAAAUUGAUGGUUAUAUUUUUAAAACAAAUAUGAACUACGAACAUAAAAAUGAGAAGCGGCUGUUUGACAAGGAAAAAGCCAAAAUAUACAAAAAGCAGUCAACUUUUAUCAAUCAUAUACAUAAGUGGAAUUUAAAAAAUAUAGAGUAUAAUAAUAAAAUAAAAGACGCCACUCGUUUGGAUUGGUCUAACGCGUUGAAAAAAGCGACAGAAGCGGCAAAAACGGCAAAAACGGCAAAAA